GGGCCGGUAGCUCAGUGGUAGAGCAGACGCCUUUUAAGCGUCUGGCCGUGGGUUCGAUCCCCACCCGGCCCACCA
rnacentral:tRNA from 1 species